UAAAUAAUUACGCUUUUUUUUUUUUUUCCCCUUCUUUUUUAUAUAACCUUUACAAUCCAUUUAACCUUUCUUUUAAGUUAAAAAAAAAAAAAAAAAAAAAAAAAAAAAAAUGCAUUUUGUAAAAAAUAAAAUUCAUGUUUCUAUACUAAAUAAAUAUGUUGAUUUUUAUGAAGAAAAGGAAACCGAUUUUAAUGAGCAUUGUUCAAUUAAGAGUAAAGAAGAACGUGAAAAAAGAAAAUAUCUUAAUAGCAUCAAUGGGGGUACAAAAGAUAGAAAAAAAUCAAAGAAAAAUAUUUUGAGAAAAAAGGAUAAAAAAAAAAAAAAAGAUUUAUUAAAUAACUCCCUAGAAAGGUUAUUAGAAUAUAAUUCAAAAAGUAACAAAAAAAAAAAAAAAAAAAAAAAUUAAAAAAUUUUCAAAAGAUAUUAAGAUAAACGAAAGAGGUGUAAAUGGUCCUAUAACUGAUGGGUUGAGUGUGACUGAGCAGGACAUGCUCAAAUAUGAUAUGAAUGGCAAGGGCAUGAGUGAAAAAGGAGUGGCUGAAAAUGUUACAAAAAAAUAUGAAGUGAGUUAUUAUAAGUUAAUAAAACAUGAUACUAACAACGAUAUGUCCAAUAUGAUUCAUACCAAUACAAAUAAAAAUAAAAUAAUAACAGAUAGUGAAAAAAAAAAAAAAAAAAAUCACUAAUAAUAGUAGUAGUAACAUUAGUAGGUAUAAAGAGUUAUCCCAUAUAUGGCAGCAGAAAUAUACCAAGAUUAUGUAUUAUAAUAAGAACAUGUAUCAUUAUUAUUCUAUUAUUAAUAAUUAUAAAAUGAUUUUAAAAAAAAAAAAAAAUAAAAUAAAUAAUAAAAAAAAAAAAAUAUGUAAAAACUACUUACGUAUGAAUUUAACUAAAUCAAAUUUUGAUUUAGUAGCAAGGAAAGUAUUUUUAUUUAAUAUUAAACAGAAAAAAGGAAUUAUUAAUAAAAAAAAGAAGAAAAAACAAAAGGGGCUUAAUAAUAAAUGGAGAUUCUCUAUUGGUGAAUAUAACAAUACGUGUGAUGGUGAAAGUGAUGGUGAGGGUGACGACAAUAAUAGUACUAAUUAUGGUAGCUGUAUAAGUACAAGUAAUAAUAGUAAUGUUAAAGAUAUAAAUGAAAAAAAUAAAAAUGUAUCAACUGAAAUCUAUAAAAAAAAAUGUUAUCAACAACAAACACACAAUGACACGUUACACUACGAAUGGGAUGCAGAACAAAAAAUAAAUACUGAUAUAAAUAUUAAAAAAAAAAAAAUAGAAAAAGUGUAUAAAAGUAAUACAGUUAAUACUUUAAAAGUUGGAAAAAACAGAGAAUAUUAUUAUGAUGAAUUGUCGAAACAUAGUAUAGAUUUGAAAAAAACAAAAGAGAGUUUAACAUAUUUAAAUAGUAUGAAUAUCCAUAACAAAAGCAAUAAAAGUAAUGGUGAAAACAAAGAGGAUGAAAAAAUUACUAACAGAAUAAAUAUUAAGGAAAAAUAUAACAAUGUGGAUUGUACAUAUAAAAAAGUUAUUAUGUAUAAAACAAUAAAAGAUAAUAAUAAAAUUGUUAAUAAUACAGACGAAAAAAAUACAGAAAUGGUUGAAGGAGAAAAAAUAUAUAACCAUUUAAAUAAAAGUGCAAAUAAAAUUACAAACAAACAAGUAGACCUAUCAAAUGAAAGUUACAAAAUAUAUGUUAAAAAUAAAAUUAAAAAUCAAUGGAAUAAUAAUAUGUCAGCUGUUUGUGCUGACAGCUUGGAACAUACAAACGUAAACAAUGAAAAGAAAACAAGUGCCAAAGAAAGAAUGAUUGAGAAUGAAAAAGAAAGUAAUACUGUUUAUUAUAAACAAGGAACUGAGCUUAUAUGUUAUAAUACAAAUAUAUGUACGAAUCAAUUAGAUGAUAAAGACGGUAAUAAUGGUAGUGGUAAUAAUGGUAGUGGUAAUAAUGGUAGUGGUAAUAAUGGCAGUGGUAAUAAUGGUAGUGAUAAUAAUGGUAGUGAUAAUAAUGGUAGUGAUGAAGGACGAUAUAAUAAUAAUAAUAAUAAUAAUAAUAAUAAUAAUAAUAAUAGUGUAGACAUUUUUAAAAAAGUUCAAAGUAUAAACAUAAUUAGCAGUGGGAAGAUAGAGAAUACGAAUAAAGACAACGGAAGUGACAAUGACGAAGAAAAGAAUCACGAAACGAACAAAAAAACAUCCUUUUACCAACUAACACGAAAACGUAAAGAUAAAUAUUUACAAAAAGAAGGAAAUAAAAUGAAUUUUACAACAAAUAUAGAAAAAAAUAGAAUAGAAAACGGUACAAUAGAAAACAGUACAAUAGAAA
ensembl:lncRNA